AUAGACGUCAAUGCAGGUCUAGGGUUGCAAAAUUUCAAAACUUUCCCCAAAUUCCCUGCUUUUUCAGAUUUCUAAGGUAGAGGGUUCCCUCUCAGCUCAUUCCCUGCUUAUUCCAGAAAUACUCUUUGAAAAACAAGGGAAUUUUGUGACACAGUUUCAUGAUUUUUGCAGCCCUACAUAGACCAAAGGUUGUAUUAGGGCAACCCUGUGUUAAUUGUUACUCCAACUUGUCAACCGAAAUACCAGUUCUAGAUAGUCCCCUUCAACAGGUUGUUGUAUAGAGGGUUUUCAGUUGCGUCACAAAUCACCUAGCAACCACACCGGGCACCAUGUUGGAAGACCAGAGUCAGUCUGGUGGAAACCAGACCAUCACAGUAACAGUAGGAAUGAACCAUAUACAGUGUAUUUGAAAAGUAUUCAGACCCCUUGACCUUUUCUGCUUUGUUAUGUUACAGCCUUAUUCUAAAAUGGAUUAAAUACACUUUUUUUCUCAUCAAUCUACACACAAUACCCCAGAAUGACAAAGCAAAAACAGGUUUUUAGAAAUUUUUAGCAACUUUUUCAAACAACGGAUACCUUAUUUACAUAAGUAUUCAGACCCUUUCCUUGAUGUUUCUACAACUUGAUUGGUGUCCACCUGUGGUAUAUUCAAUUGAUUGGACAUGGUUUAGAAGGGCACACACCUGUCUAUAUUAGGUCCCACAGUUGACAGUGCAUGUCAGAGCAAAAACCUAGUCAUGAGGUCGAAGGAAUUGUCCGUAGAGCUCCGAGAACAAGAUUGUGUCGAGGCACAGAUCUGGGGAAGGGUACCAAAAAAUUGCUGUUGCAUUGAAGGUCCCUAAGAACACAGUGGCCUCCAUCAGUCUUAAAUGAAAGCCGUUUGGAACUACGAAGGCUCUUCCUAGAGCUAGCCACCCAGCCAAUCUGAGCAAUCGGGGGAGAAGGGCUUUGGUCAAGGAGGUGACCAAGAACCCGAUGGUCCCUCUGACAGAGCUCCAGAGUUACUCUGUGGAGAUGGGAGAACCUUCCAGAAGGACAACCAUCUCUGCAGCACUCAACCAAUCAGGCCUUUAUGGUAGAGUGGCCAAACGGAAGCCACUCUCCCCUAAAAGGCACAUGCAACCCGCUUGAGGUUUGCCAAAAGGCAAUGAAAGGACUCUCAGACCAUGAGAAACCAAGAUUGAACUCUUUGGCCUGAGUGCCAAGUGUCACCUCUAGAGGAAAUGUGGCACCAUCCCUACGGUGAAGCAUGGUAGUGGCAGCAUCAUGCUGUGGGGGAUGUUUUUCAGCAGCAGGAACUAGGAGACUAGUCAGGAUUGAGGGAAAGAUGUACAGAGAGAUCCUAGAUGAAAACCUGCUCCAGAGCACUCAGGACCUCAGACUAGGGCGAAAGUUCACCUUCCAACAGGACAACACUCCUAAGCACACAGCCAAGUCGCUGAAUGUCCUUGAGUGGCCCAGCCAGACCUCGGACUUGAACAUUAUCGAACAUCUCUGGAGAGACCUGAAAAUGGCUGUGCAGCGACGCUCCCCAUCCAACCCGACAGAGCUUGAGAGGGUCUGCAGAGAAGAAUGGGAGAAACUCCCCAAAUACAGGUGUGCCAAGCUUGUAACGUCAUACCCAAGAAGACUCGAGGCUGUAAUCACUGCCAACGGUGCUUCAACAAAAUACUGAGUAAAAGGGUUUGAACACUUAUGUAAAUGUGAUAUUUAUGUUUUUUUUAACAUUUUAUUUAAAUGUGCAAAAAGCCUGUUUUUGCUUUGUCAUUAUGGGGUAUUGUGUGUAGAUUGAUGGGGGGGGGGGACUAUUUCAUCCAUUUUAGAAUAAUGCCGUAACAAAAUGUGGGAGUUGGAAUACUUUCCGAAUUCACUGUACAAUGUAUCUCCACCCUAACAAUGGGAGUUGUUGCCCAUCUAUCCUUUCUUUUUGGAUUGGUGGAUACAUCAAAUUAUUGUAAUCCUUUUCUGAGUAUUUGAUGCGCCUGUAUUCAAUGGAGAGCGAUGCUAUGUUACUAGCCUCAUACCAUGAAUAUGCAUAGCCAUCUCAAGAUCUAAAGUGUUUUUGCUCAAAGUUGCCAGGAUGUCACGUCUCCUACUUAGAUCAGUACACUCGUAACAACUUAAGCAUUACAAAAACUUUUAUUAGGUUAAAUAAACCUUACGUAGCAAAUAAGCCAUUUUUUUGUUGACCAAAAUCGACACUCAUUGACCUCCAUACAAAAACUCCUUGCUUGGUAGUCAAAACAUCGAAAAAUAGCCAACUGCUGGAGGGAGACAGAUUUUCUGCCAAGUUUGGCCUCUCUCUACCUCUUCCUCCCUGGACGUCCUCUAAUCGUCCACAUGGUUGGCUGCGUAUUGCUACCAUCGGGAAGAUUGCCCAUGAUUUAGUUUUCUGUAAGGACCCAGAAAACUGAUUCAGUGGGAGAACCUAUUUAAAUACAGAGAGCUGUGGAACCCUGUCUGCAGAUAAGGUCUCAGUGAAUGUCCCAGAGAAUAAGGGUAUACACCCUUGUAUACCAUGGGUUAUAUGUGUACCUAAUGUUAGCAAAUGUAAACAAAAAAUAAUAAUUAAGUCACGCACAAUGUAUAAUCCUAUUACAACUCGAGCAGGUCAACCCUGCUGGGUAUGCAGGCUUCUGUUCCAGCCCAGCACUAACACACCUGAUUCGCCUUAUCAAACCUAAUUAGUUGAUAACUAAAGUGUGCUAUUGCUGGGCUGGAAUAGAAGUCUGCUCAGCAAGUAGAACAGUGAUCAGUGGAGCAACGUUGACAGUCACUGCUAUCGCUUUUUUUUUAACUGAAAUGAUGCUUUAGUAAUAAUAGCCUACAUGUUACUAAAAUGUCUAACCUUUACGGUUAUAUCUUAUGAGUUAGCCCACUUGUACACUGAAAUUGUAUGAAAUAAAGUGUUGGUUCUUUUGAA